rnacentral:sRNA from 1 species
AAGAAAGUGACUGCCGCCCCGCACAGGGGCAGUGCUAAUAGACCGAUAAGAAAAACAAGUUCCACGAAAACCGAAGCAAGGAAACCAAGGAGAAACCC